CAUACACACACACACACAAUUUCUACUACUGGAGCUUGAAUUCAGGUCUUUGUACUCACUUUGCCUUUCCUACUCAUGGCUGAGACUCUGCUACUUUAGGAUGCCACUAGCUCAGCUUUUUGCUAAAAUGGAAUCUCCAAUGGAGAUGGAAUCUCUUGGACUUUCCUACCAAGGCUGGCUCUGAACUAUAAUCUACCCCAGGUCUCAGACUCUGGAGUGGCUAAGAUUAUAGGUGUGAGCCACCAGUGCCCAGCUACAAUAUUUCAAUGUAUCUUUUUUGUAUAAAUGGUCCUGGGGAUGAAACCUAGGACCUUGUGCAUGGUAGGCAAGUGGUCUAGCCUGCAUCUGCCUUUGACUAUAACUUGUCACAUGAGAUCAGGUGUGGAAUAUUCUAGUUACAUUCUUACAUGGUCACACAAGUUUUGGAUUUAGGAGUGUUUCAGGUUUUAGAUUUUUAGAUUAGGGAUAUUCAGUAUACAUCAACAUCAAUUAUUGUCAACAUUUUUCCUUUCAUUUUUGCUAUAGUUUUGUUUUCUGGUUUGUUAACCAGAACAGAUGGGGUGGUUUUAGCAGACACUUUGUUUUUCCCAGAAGACUAUUUUGGUGCAUGUUCCCUUCAGUUGGCAGAUAUGGUCUAGGAGAAGACACAGAUACAUCUACUGGGCUACAAGAGCAGCAUUCCUAGGCAUUUCAUUCUAGCUGGUAGUGGCAGGGCUGGUUUCAGCACCAUGAUGUGGCCCUUAGCUAUGAGGCCCCAACUCUUGCUGUAGCUGCCCGAUCUAUAUAUAUGGGCUUCAGUAAUAAUCAAGUGCCAUACUAGACAGAUGUUAGGUACAACUUUAAAGGGUAGGAGGAUUUAUAUUCAAGAAUCGUACAUGCUAUUCAAAUUGGGUCGUUAUCUUAUGCACAUAUUGGUAGGGCUAAAAAUACUUCAGUAUUUUAGCCUUUGUGUCAUACCCAUCUUUUAGUGCUUCACACAAUCGUUUUGUUUUAUAUAAAUUAUUUCAUUGUAAAAUGACUGAGAAUGGAGCUAUAAAUUACUUUUGCAAGGAAUGGAACAAAAACAACUCAUUUUCUAUACUAUAAGAAGAUAGCCUCAGUCAUAAUUUUGGAUUAAUGACC